ensembl:lncRNA
GGACGCUGGUGGGGCGAGUGAGCGAGCGGAGGACGGGGCUGUGCUUCUUCCUGCUCUCGAAAGAGUCGCCAAGGCAAACUGAGACAUAUCCGGUUUCUUGCAAGUUUUCCCAUCAAUCAAAUCAACCAGCCAUUUUAACUGAUUACCUGGCAGAACUUACACCGACUAUAGGAUCUCCGCUAUGAUGUGGAUCCAAUCCAACCUUCCUCUGAGCUAAGCCAUAUCCUGGUCUGGCUACAUGUGCCAUUUGGCGCCUUCCAUCAGGGUUAGUCACCAG